GACAGAGGUGCCGAGCGUUAGGCGGAAUCACUGGGCUUAAAGCGUGUGUAGGCGGAUCGUUAAGUACCUUGUGAAAUCCCACGGCUUAACCGUGGAACUGCUUGGUAUACUGGCGAUCUUGAGCCACCUAGGGGCAACCGGAACAAAUGGUGGAGCGGUGAAAUGCGUAGAUAUCAUUUGGAACGCCAAUGGUGAAAACAGGUUGCUGGGGGCGUGCUGACGCUGAGACACGAAAGCCAGGGGAGCGAACGGG
rnacentral:rRNA from 1 species